rnacentral:tRNA from 1 species
CAGUGGGUAGCUCAAAUGGCAGAGCUGGCGGCAAAAAAGCCUUAUUCAAUUCAUUGCCUAACUGGGCCGAAGAAUGAGGGUUAUCGUUAACCGCUGAGUUGGAGGUUCGAGUCCUUCUCCGCUGG